rnacentral:rRNA from 2 species
UGAGGAAUAUUGGUCAAUGGCCGGGAGGCUGAACCAGCCAAGUAGCGUGAAGGAUGAAGGUUCUAUGGAUUGUAAACUUCUUUUAUACGGGAAUAACACCGUCCACGUGUGGACGCCUGCAUGUACCGUAUGAAUAAGCAUCGGCUAACUCCGUGCCAGCAGCCGCGGUAAUACGGAGGAUGCGAGCGUUAUCCGGAUUUAUUGGGUUUAAAGGGAGCGUAGACGGGACGUUAAGUCAGUUGUGAAAGGCUGCGGCUCAACCGCAGCACUGCAGUUGAUACUGUCGUCCUUGAGUGCGGUUGAGGUGCGUGGAAUUCGUGGUGUAGCGGUGAAAUGCUUAGAUAUCACGAAGAACUCCUAUUGCGAAGGCAGCGCACCAAGCCGCUACUGACGUUGAGGCUCGAAAGUGUGGGUAUCAAACAGG